rnacentral:rRNA from 1 species
AUUGAGCGCUGGCGGCAGGCCUAACACAUGCAAGUCGAACGGUAACAGGAAGAAGCUUGCUUCUUUGCUGACGAGUGGCGGACGGGUGAGUAAUGUCUGGGAAACUGCCUGAUGGAGGGGGAUAACUACUGGAAACGGUAGCUAAUACCGCAUAACGUCGCAAGACCAAAGAGGGGGACCUUCGGGCCUCUUGCCAUCAGAUGUGCCCAGAUGGGAUUAGCUAGUAGGUGGGGUAACGGCUCACCUAGGCGACGAUCCCUAGCUGGUCUGAGAGGAUGACCAGCCACACUGGAACUGAGACACGGUCCAGACUCCUACGGGAGGCAGCAGUGGGGAAUAUUGCACAAUGGGCGCAAGCCUGAUGCAGCCAUGCCGCGUGUAUGAAGAAGGCCUUCGGGUUGUAAAGUACUUUCAGCGGGGAGGAAGGGAGUAAAGUUAAUACCUUUGCUCAUUGACGUUACCCGCAGAAGAAGCACCGGCUAACUCCGUGCCAGCCGCCGCAGUAA